ACGUAGUGAAUAAUGAAAGGACACAAUCGUUUUGUAUGUGUAUGCCUUUAGCAUUUGUUGUAUAAUGUUAAAAAGGUCAUAUGAGGAGGUUGUUUUCAUAUUUAAUUUUUCAUUCACUUCCAGGGAUAGGAUUGGCAUGGAAGAUGCAGCACUCUUUACAUUUUAAAUAUCAAAUGUAUAUCAAGUGUUAUCCAUGCUCAUAACACCUCCACAAAUAGAGACUGGAUCUUCUGUGCACCAUCAUCUUGUCUGCUUUGGGACUGUCAAAGCCCAGCAAUCAGAUGCAUCAGAACAACAAAGCACAACUGUGGUGGCCCAGGAACCUUCAGCAACAAGUGCAGUGAAGAUAUUUAAAGAGACACUAUCACAUAAAGUACAGAAAGCCUUACAUCAUCUCUAGGUGCAGUCGCCUACAGUGCAGCCAGCUUCACAAAGACUGUG